AUUGAACGCUGGCGGCAGGCCUAACACAUGCAAGUCGAACGAGUGGCGGACGGGUGAGUAAUGUCUGGGCAACUGCUCGAUGGAGGGGGAUAACUACUGGAACCGGUAGCUAAUACCGCAUACCAUCGGAUGUGCCCAGAUGGGGUUAGCGAGUAGGUGGGGUAACGGCUCACCUAGGCGACGCUCCCUAGCUGGCCUGAGAGGAUGACCCGCCACACUGGAACUGAGACACGGUCCAGACGCCUACGGGAGGCAGCAGUGGGGAAUAUUGCACAAUGGGCGAAAGCCUGAUGCAGCCAUGCCGCGUGGAUGAAGAAGGCCUUCGGGUUGUAAAGUACUUUCAGCGAGGAGGCGUUACUCGCAGAAGAAGCACCGGCUAACUCCGUGCCAGCAGCCGCGGUAAUUC
rnacentral:rRNA from 1 species